AAAUAUAUCCUAGUGCUCUUUUUCAUAUAACUCAUAUGCAUUCUAUCUCAUCCCCCCUACAACUUUUGCUGUUAAUUACGAUGAAGGUGUGUGUGGUUUCGCAUGGCCAACUGGAGCUUUGACCGUUGGUCUGUCUUCUUCAAUUGAGUUGUUCUAGGUUGGGUGCAUGUUUUGCAAAUCCAAAUGAUGGAAAUGUUGGGCUCCAAAUUAAAGCACAACUGCCUGUCUUUCUCCAACACCAUACUGUCCAAGCCUAACGCCACCAGUGAAGUCUGCAGAGAUUUUUCGAGCUUUGUCCCCCAAUGUACCAAAAAGAAGAAGAAAUUUGGACUUGCGCUCUAAAACUUCAAUGAAAGUUCACUUUCAUUUUGAUUAGAUUUGUUGUAAGGGUUGAUGUUUAUUUGCAGGGUCUUUUUGAUGCCAUUAUCUUUUUUGAGCAAAUGGGGAUAUUCAUCAGCUUCUCAAUAACCAAGUAAAUUCUUUUGUUACUCGAAUAUCUGCGCGUUGAGUUGUUCUUACGAGUGUCGACAAAGACAACCUAUGAACAGAUGAGUAACCAAAAAGAUAUGAAACUUGUUGUCGACCAAGUUCAUGAAAGUCCCCAUUUGCCAAAAAAAAGAUAUUUGUGUCAAAACGAGCCUAACAAGAAAAAACGUCAACUCUUACAAGAAAUCUAACCACUACAAAACAUUAUCUUUACUUUUUGCAGCUUAGUAGCUUAUUAGGAACUUGAUGAUGUAUUGGAUCUUAUUAUAAAUUUGUUUUCUUGUACGGUUUUAACAGAACACGCUCCAUUCGUAAUUGCAUGGAAAUUUACGCGUUAAGAAAGUUUGUCAUCACUUUGAACAAUUCAGUGUACGAUGUUUGCUGGAUUUACUUUAA